rnacentral:rRNA from 1 species
UACGAGUGCCCCAAGCGUUAUCCGGAAUCAUUGGGCGUAAAGGGUGUGUAGGCGGUUGUGUUAGUCUUCUGUUAAAAUCUCGGGCUUAACCCGAGAAUUGCAGGGGAAACGGCACGACUAGAGGGUGCGAGAAGUAGAUGGAACUCAUGGAGUAGGGGUGAAAUCCGUUGAUAUCAUGGGGAACACCAAAAGCGAAGGCAAUCUACUAGCGCACUCCUGACGCUGAGACACGAAAGCGUGGGUAGCGAACGGG